rnacentral:rRNA from 1 species
UACGAAGGGUGCAAGCGUUGUUCGGUUUUACUGGGCGUAAAGCGAGUGUAGGCGGAUUGGUAAGUCAGAUGUGAAAGCCCGGAGCUCAACUCCGGAAUUGCAUUUGAAACUAUCAGUCUAGAGGAUAAUAGAGGAUAACGGAACUCCGAGUGUAGAGGUGGAAUUCGUAGAUAUUCGGAAGAACAUCAGUGGCGAAAGCGGUUAUCUGGAUUAUUUCUGACGCUGAGAUUCGGAAGCAUGGGGAGCAAAC